UGUGCUCACUUCGGCAACACAUUACUAAAAUUAGAGCAAUACAGAGAAGAUUAGCAUGGUCUCUGAGGAGAUGAAAAGGAAAUUCACGAAGUGUUCCAUAUUUUA